CAUGGCAAGUUGGUGGCAAACGUCAGCUUAUGACAAUGGAUAUGGGAGCUAGAGGGGACCUGUUUUCAAAAAAAACGGCUAAAGAGGUCAGCGGCGCGAACAAUAAAGUAAGUUCGACAAAAACACUUGAUGCAUGUCAGUAUAUGUAUGUUACUGGCAGACUGGGAAAUUGUCACGUGCCUGAUAAAAUUGGUAAAUCCAUUUGACAUGCGCAAAAUUUGCCUUUGUGUUACGACGGUUCUUGUCUGUCGUGGGAGAUUUGAAGGGAUAAAGUCAUUGAAAUCGCCGUUGCAGGCCAAUGGCGCAUUGCAGGUACGUAUGAAUUUUCAGAAUUCCGAGCACAAAGUUUUGUAAUUUAUAUCGUUUGUAGUCUUCACACUUGUCAGAAUGCUGCACAAACUGGAUCAUGUAGGCAACACCUUCUGUCAGAAAGUGAAGAAAUCGACCAGUAUCGUUCAAACAUCAGACGCUCAAUUCAGACCGCCUGCGGUGUAAGUAUGGUCUAUUUCUAAUCGUUCCAUGAACCUCUGCACUUGUAAGAUAAACAGGAUCUUUACAUAUUCCCGAGUUAUAGACGUAAAACCACGACCAAAGUAACCACAACAGCCAAUCAGAAGAAAAGAUAAUAUUACAAGGAGUCAAUACGAAAUCAAAGUAAAAACAAACCAACUGUGUUAAGCGCGGGGAAAACGCAGGUGACCAAGUCGUGAUUGGGUCUAGUUUUUCCGAUUUGACUGAAGAAACGAAUGGCGCGAAUUUUGUGAACCAAUCAAAGUCCACAUUGUAAAUAGCAAAACUAAUACAAUCUAGGCUAGAUUACUUUCGACACUAUUGAAAAUUGCAAUGUCGUCAAUAAAGAUUACGCCCGUCAUACUCAAAAUUAACUGAAAAGAGCACUUUUUGCGCUUUGUUGUCCACUCUCAUUUGCCAUACCAUAACUAACGCUAACUAACAAUACGCUUGCCGUGAACUUCUUGUUUCACCGUUACUAAGUUGAGAACUGCACGACACGUUUAAUUACUUUAAUUGAUCGACAUUUUAAGAGAUUUCGUUUGCCUAUUUCAUGAUUAAAACAAUAUAUAUGCGGUACGUAUUUUCGCCCAUAUAUGGCCGUGAUCGACGUGCUCAUAUUGCAACGUGAUGUGUGUGCUUUUAUUCGAAUGAGGGAGGAGCAGUGGGUGAGAGUUAAUCGUCAAAUAAAGGGAAUAAACCGUAAUAAAGAGGCGUGGUACAGCGUUUCCACGUUUUCGAAAACUAAUCACAUACAGUAUGUUUAAGCUGCAUUACGAUUGUGACUUCGAAAAGCAAUUCGUGGGGUUGGUUUUCUGCAUUGCACAGGACGAGUUGCGAUUGAUGAGCUUGCUGACUGAUUAACUGAUUGAUUGAUUUGUUAACUGACAAAUCCUCGUCCAAUCUCUCCACGUGCUUCGAGCUACCCAACAGUCACGUGGUCUUCACCACCCGUGGUAGAUGACAGAACGAGGCGGAGCGCAUCUGAGUUUGAAAGACCAUCCAGGAUUUAUCUUUCUACUUAGGCGGAGAUAAUUCAAGACAACACAAAACAUCACAAAUGUUGGAAAUGUUUGUACUUGGAGCUUGUCGAACCCGAGGUUGUCAACAAGCAUGAGAUGAUCGUAAUUAAAGCGUUUAUAUUAUUCUACAACUACGCGUCAGAAAAUCUCUCUGCAAAUUGUCCCCAACAGAACGAGAGCGACAGGGGAAUGCGCAAUUGAGACGACAAGUAGUGAGAUUGCGCGAUCAUGAAGGGCGAGUAAUUUCUCUGGUGAAUGAAAUCGAGAGUCUGAGGAGGGAAAAUGAAACCUUGGCUCAGGAAAUUCGUGUCAUAGAAGAAUCACGUGCUGCACGUGCUGCACGUGCUGCUCAAAUUGGAUCAAGAUGUAACAAGUAGCCACGUAAUUGUGCUGUGCAUGGAUUCAUGGAACUCUUGGAGAAAUCAAAGUCGAUAAUCAAACAGGAAAAGAUUCAUUCCAAGACGAUGGGUAUCAAUGUGUUGCCCGGCUGUUAACAUCCGAACGUAAAUUUUCCAUACUAGACAUCAUAUUAAUGCAUAAGGCUAGUGGGGUGAAUUAGAUACAGUAUUUUCAUAGACCAGUUGAAUCAAUCACUAGCUUUUCUUCACAACACAGUCUAUUUGCGCUUAUCGUCAAUUGCACAAUUGAGAAGGAGACCUUUGAUUUGUUUUGACGCACUUGAGUAGUUAAGGACGCUUGUUUGUACUGUAGCCAAUGAGUAGCCAGUUUUUUAUAUAACGUGAUCGCUGCAGACCAGUGGCAAUGCACGAGGACCUAAAACAAAAUACUGGCUCCUCAUUGGCUACAGUACAGUACAAACAAGCUUCCUUAAGUACUCAAUUGUUUGAAAUAAGUGUCUUUUCUUAUCUCAGAUUUCCUUUCCUUUCUGCCUUUCCUUAUUUCGAUUCCUCCUUCCAUAACACUGCCUAGUCUAACAUUGGUAUUCAGGAUCUCCACACUGUGCUCUUUACAUUUCCUAUGAUAUUAGCAUGGAGAAUUUGUUUCACAACCAGAAGUUUCUUUAAUCGUAUCAGUGAUCAUUUUCGUUAUUCUCAUUACCUGUACGCUUGAUCUGUGGGUGAUGAUGUAGGGAGAAAUUAGAAGUCAGUCACUCGUUAAGGGUUAAAGGUUGACGCGUACAAAGCCCAUAAACGACAGGUGUUUUUUUAUUGCUAAUUUGAAGAUAAGAUAAGAUAAGACCUUUAUUUAAACACGAUAAUAAUUAAAGCUAACAGCUUGAGGGGUCGUGUAUUUAAGUUUAUACAUUAUUAAAAUGAGAAGAAGACUAGCUAAGUAAGUAAAAAGCUAACACUAACAUCUUAAUCAAAAGUAGAGAAAGUCAUCAUGUUAUGGCAGCAGCUGAAGCUGAAGAAAUAUUAAAUUUUAAAUCUCUAAAAUAAGGCUUUGUUUUCAAAUUUCGAAACAGCUCAUUUGGGUUUUUGUGCAAGAUAUUACGUUCAUUUAAGCGAAUAGUGUUCCAAAAGAUUGCACCUCUAUAGGCAAGGGAAUCUUUCAUAAACCUAGUAUUAAAUCUUGGACUGAACUGU